rnacentral:rRNA from 1 species
UAAGGAAUAUUGGUCAAUGGACGCAAGUCUGUACCAGCCAUGCCGCGUGAAGGAUGAAGGUCCUCUGGAUUGUAAACUUCUCUUAUCUGGGACGAAAAAAGGGAAUUCUUUCUCACUUGACGGUACCAGAGGAAUAAGCACCGGCUAACUCCGUGCCAGCAGCCGCGGUAAUACGGAGGGUGCAAGCGUUAUCCGGAUUCACUGGGUUUAAAGGGAGCGUAGGUGGGCUUGUAAGUCAGUGGUGAAAUCUCCGAGCUUAACUCGGAAACUGCCAUUGAUACUAUAGGUCUUGAAUUAUCUGGAGGUAAGCGGAAUAUGUCAUGUAGCGGUGAAAUGCUUAGAUAUGACAUAGAACACCGAUUGCGAAGGCAGCUUACUACGGAUAUAUUGACACUGAGGCUCGAAAGCGUGGGGAUCAAACA